GCCAGCCUGGCUCAAUUGGUUGAGCGUUUGACCUCGGCUCAGGUCACGAUCUCAUGUUCUGUGAGUUCAAGCCCCAUGUCUGGCU
rnacentral:tRNA from 1 species